GUGUACUAAUUACUGACUCACUACUCUGUUAAAGGCUCCCUGUGCCGAACUCAACAGAAGGUCUGUUGAACUCGUCUCACCAAGCUCUCAUGAGGGAUCAACCAUGUUGGCAGAGACAAAUCUAAAAGCUGUGACAACCACCUGCAUCAUACGAUAUAUAAUAUCAUCACAAACACGUAAGCCGCGCAGAGACGCCUCUGGAUGAAGAGGAAUCCUCGGAGGAAGACUCAUAAGAAGCUGGCGAGGUUUACACCAGCUGAAGUGUGUGUCCUCACCUCAUUGGGACGCUCAGCUCGUGCCAGAAGGUUGCAGUUAGAUGGAGCACGUGGACUGCGCUGAAAUCUGUGGAGCGUCGUGAUGCUCAAGGUGUGCAUAGGCAGGCUGGUGAAGCCGAGAGGAUUUAUUGAUGGUGAGAGUGAAGCUGUCAUGUCGCUCUAGUGUUUACCACCAGCCCCAUUCUCUGAGCGCAGACCGGGUUUGUUUUGGAAGGGAUCUCUAUCGCAUCCUAAUGAGCUGCAUCCAGCAGAUGGGAGAGACCACACCACGCUUUCACACACAUGGGAUCGGAAAAAUCAACAGACCACCAUCCCUGCUGGAAGAACAGCCUCUCAGGGUCACAGUAAUGUCAGGAGCAGAGCGGCACUCGAAUUUUCAUGACAGACAUUCCAUGAAUAAACUGAAAAAUAUA